AGGAUGAACGCUGGCGGCGUGCCUAAUACAUGCAAGUCGAGCGGUAAGGCCACUUCGGUGGUACACGAGCGGCGGACGGCUGAGUAACACGUAGGAACGUACCCCAAAGUGAGGCAUAAGCACCAGAAAUGGUGUCUAAUACCGCAUGUGGCCUAACAGGCUAAAGCUCCGGCGCUUUGGGAACGGCCUGCGCAUGAUUAGCUUGUUGGUGAGGUAAAAGCUCACCAAGGCAGUGAUCAUUAGCUGGUCUGAGAGGAUGACCAGCCAGACUGGGACUGAGAACGGCCCAGACUCCUACGGGAGGCAGCAGUAGGGAAUUUUCCACAAUGGGCGAAAGCCUGAUGGAGCAACGCCGCGUGCAGGAUGAAGGCUCUAGGGUCGUAAACUGCUUUUAUCUGUGACGAAUAUGACGGUAGCAGAUGAAUAAGGAUCGGCUAACGUCCGUGCCAGCAGCCGCGGU
rnacentral:rRNA from 1 species